CUCCCCCUCCUCGCGGGGAGUGUCCGGGCGCGGCCUUGGCAAAGCCCCGGGAGCCGUGUGCCUGCCAGGGGUCGGGCUGUUCCUGCCUGUUCCGUAGGGCCUGGGGGCUGUAGCCCGCUUGCUCGGGGUCGCCUCUCGUAGCCGGCCGGCCGCCUCAGCGUGGGUUGUAGGCUGCAGCCCGGUUUUAGUCAGGCGAGGCUCAGACGAGGCUUUGAGACCCUGUCUGAAAAUCCCGUGCCCCCCCUCUUCCUUCACACUGACUCCUUAAAUUCAGUGCUGCCGGAUUCCUCAGGGCAUCGGGUGUGCUUCUAGCCAGCAGAUAGGCGAUUGAUUUUCGCCUCCUCACGAGUUGUUCUGGUGCCUGUGUGUAUUGAAUGCCAGUUCUAUAAAAGGUGUUGAAGAUCUAUGAAAGGUGUUGAAGAAACAGUCUGUGGUUUUAUCUCUCCAGCCCAGCUCCCUGCCCUGUAUCUGCACUGUUUCCGGCCUGUGCCAGCGUGAACAUUUGUGAAAUCAAGCGAUAAAUGAGAUUGAACUGAGAGGACCAGAGAACAACCUGCUUUCCUUCCGUUUUGCUGAUCCAGUUCACCAACAUAAUAAAUGUGUCAGCGUGGCACAGAGGACAGCACAGGCACAGCUGAGAACAGGCACAGCUGAGAACAGGCACAGCUUAAAAGGUCUUGUUCUGCUGCAAGUGCACACCCAGGCGCUGACUUGCUUUGUUGUUUAGUGCCAGUUCAAUGUCUCCUUGAAAACACUCCCAGCACCCCUGACACCUCCAACACUGGAACUCUGUGUCUCAGUGGGUAAUUCUGUGAGUCAUCUUGUCAUAAACUUGGGCUGGACCAUGGUGUUUGUCUCCAGCAAGGGUUGGGCUUAUGGCAUUAUGGUAUAAUGUGAUGGCAAUUUUUGGUCUCUCUUCACCAAAUCUUUCACAAAUCCAUUGUUUCCAGUGACACGAUUGAGGAGUCACUUUCAUUUGCAUGUUUAUGGGUAUUUUAACUCCUUUUUUCAAUAGUGAAAACCCAAUAAUCUUCAUAUAUGUAAUUAUGUUGCAGUUAUUACUGGUUCCUCUUUCCUUGGAGUUUGAUCUGUAACCUCUGUAAGUUUGCAAAACAAUAUGCAUAGAGGAUGUCAUCCGCAGAUUCUGUACUGAGCAGGCCAGUCAUGUCUUGCUGACAGACGAGUUCUCAGAGCCAGGCUAGGAGGCCUUUUAAUGCAGAAUGGAAAGCAUCCCAUGCUAACUUUAUCAAAAGAUGCAUUGUACUCCAUAGAGAUGGUUGCAGAUGCUAUGAGAUUAUUAUCCAAAGCCUUGGAAAGCUCCCUGAAUUCACAUCCCUUCUGUGCAUUGUGUUUAUUAGAGGAUGCGAUAAAUGCCAUCACUGUGUUACACAAGACCAUACAAUAAUAAUUGGAACUGGCUGGGAAGUGAAAUUUUUAUUCUGCAGGAAAUUCCAGCUUGUCAAUAUUUUGUUUCAUCGAGUGCUGGAACAAAACAUGUUGGCUCUGCAGCCUUUCUGGCAAAAAUGGAACUAUCGAUUUCUUUGCCAGCUGACAAGCCUGGGAAGCCAAGAAACCAACUGAGCAGUCGGCCUGAUGCCAGGGAGCUGUAUAGCCAGUCAGCUGAGCUACAGUAAGAAGCCGUGCUGGCCAGCAGCCACAGCCAGAUCAUGGCUAGAGCUUCUGUAGAAAGUUUGGAUGGAACCAGGGCAAUGCAGAAUUCCAGUGCCAAUCUGUUCAAUUAGAAGAUGGCCAAGCACCCUCUCAAUAAUUGACUUCUGUCAGGAGAGGAUGUAACUCUACUGCACUUUCUGUUCCUUAUGUGUUUCUUUCUUCAGCUUUUGCCUUGUGACUUAGGCACAUACCUAUUGCUUGUAUGAGAAGAUUAAAUCCAAGAACUUUCCUUAAGGAUUAGUGAUGAUACCCAAACCCAUGAGGGAGUUUUCAGAGUGUCCCUCAUUGCUAGUUUUGUGAUUGUCAUUCAGAUAACCUUGUGUGUCAGCAAUACCUCAUGGUAUCUGCCUGUGUAUGCCCUGCUAAUGAGAGUUACACAGUUAUUGCAAGCAGUACUGUGUGAGAUUGGAGUAAACAUUUGUCUGCUAUCAGAUAAUACAGUCUCCUUGUCUUCAUCCCAUAUUUGCAGAUGAAUUUAAGAUAAACUUGCCAAAAUGCAAUAACGAGGCAAAAAUGCCUUCUGAACUAUGGAAGUGAUACUGAUCUUGGGAAGUCGGUGAUGUGGAGGCCAACACUGAUAUGGAGGGCACCCUCCUCUGUCAGCACUAUCUGUGCUCAAGUCCUGAAACUGUUUGCUCAGUGUAACCCUUAACCUAAACUUUAUUUCAGGAUUCUUGCAAUGCUCCAGUUAUUUUUCCCUUUUGUUGUAUUUCUGGAAAGGUAUCAGACCAGUUUGUAAAAAAAAAAAUUAUAUCUUUGCCCUCUUGCUGUUCACAGUUAUGGCACCAUCAUAAAAGAUAUCUGCUGCUUUUUAAUGUUUAAAUAAUUUCUAUUAUAGGAAAAAUCUUUCCUUAUUCUUUUAAUAAUUUCCUUAUUAAUAAGGAAUUAUUAAUUCCUUAAAUCUGCAGACAUGAUGCACGCUGUACACAUCUCUUGUUUGUUUUCAACCAGUUACUGUCUGUACUUCUUCUUUAAAGGCCACAGAUGUCAUAUACCAUCCUUACCACAACUGUGGUAACUCCAGGGAACAAUGAAUUUCCUUGUAAAUGUUCACUGGUAAUUAAAUUUUCUGCAACUUCAUCUCUUUAAAUAGUCUCUAAUAUUCCUGCUGUGAAAUUAGAGGAAAACCAGAUGCUAUACUGAGACACAUUUCAAAUCUUGUGCCUUCCACAUGUAAACAAAUUUGACUUACUGUCUCUCUUGAAUUCAACUGCUGCGGAGAUGCUACAGUAUCUGGCUUCCAAAUGAAUUCAGUGACCUUUCAAUUUUCUAAGCAUAGUCUGGUUUACUGCUGGUUUAACAGUGUUUAUUCUUGAACAGGAAAUCAUUUUCAUAGUGAGUAUUUUCUCACAGUGAAAAUAGUUUAGUGUAAUGUUCAUGAUGCAUUUUCUCCUUCAUUUCUGCUGGAGUUGUUGCACAGUGUGCUGUGUGCUGCUGCAGCAUAUCCUGAAAUGUACUCUUCAUCUCAGAUGAAAUUACUCCAGCAUAUGUUUAAGGUUUAAGUCAGUCUCAAUAUGACCAUUUGGCUUGUCUUGUUUAUAUUCCACACAUGAGUAACUGCUGCUGUGUGUCAUUCGAGUCCUUCUGAUUCUCGAUUUCCUCAGUGUUGCCGCAUACUUAGAGAUGAUUUAAUUUCCCCUCUGAUCCCAUCUAUAAUAGAAAUGCUCUUUAAACAUGAGCAUGCCUUAAUUAUAGCGUUUCUGUCUUUUUCCAAUAAAAUAUUGGCUGGAAACUACCAAGUCCUUACAUGUCUUGGUGACACCUUUUCAGCAAGAUAGAAAUAUUGAUAGCUUUUCCCAAAAACUAAGAAAAAACAGGAGUGACAAGGAAACCAUCACCUAAGACAAACUAGAAGUGCCUCAUCCCUCCAUCCACAUGGGCUGUAAUACAAAGGAUCCUGAAUACCUCAUGUCAGAGAGAGGGGAUUUUUAUCAUGUGGGGUAGUCAUUGUGAAAAAGUCACUGUACACUCCAUUCCAAGGGCUUCUUUGUAACUUAUUGUUUGAAAGCAAAAAAAAAGCUUGGCCAAAAUGGAACACAGAACAGAAAUACCUAAAAGAAAUUGUAUGAGUUCCUCCCUACCACUGUAAGAUUGCUGAGUAGCUGUUUCUGAGCUACCUUCACUGAAGGCAAUUUCAUUUUCCCAAUGAAAUUUUUGUAUGUUUCUCAGCACAGAAAUGUUACAUUUACACGAUCUACUGAGAACCAAAUGAAUUUCAUUUUUAAACUGUUUUGAAAUUGAAACUCACUUGAUUGACACUGUAAAUUGAGUUUUUCAAGAGUCAAAAUGUAGCUAAAAAUUAUACAUUCUGGUAACAUUGUAUUUUACUAGGUACUUCAGCUCAUGUACCAUUGAAGUAUUAGUUACUCUUGUAAUUAUGGAAGUUAACUUUUAACUUUGUUGAAAGGAAAGUAUUUUCUUUGUGGUCACUUACGCUUUAAAGCUGUGGAGAUAGAUAUAAAUACAAUGUAAAUAUAUAUUUUAGUAUAUGAAGUCAAAAUCUUUUUAAUCAGUCAAAAAGGGAUUCAUCCAUUGCCUUUUUGCUCAGUUGCAAGAAACUGCAUUAGGAAUAUUUGAAAACAUAAUAAAAGUGUUUUAAAAUCAAAUUGUUUGAACUUCAGCAAUGUGUCAUCAUUUACAACUGAUAAGACAUUGUUCUGCCUAUAAAUG